rnacentral:rRNA from 1 species
UAUGUAGGUGGCAAGCGUUGUUCGGAUUUACUGGGCGUAAAGGGCGCGUAGGCGGCAAUUCAAGUCAGUUGUGAAAUCUCCGAGCUUAACUCGGAACGGUCAACUGAUACUGUUUUGCUAGAGUGCAGAAAGGGCAACCGGAAUUCUUGGUGUAGCGGUGAAAUGCGUAGAUAUCAAGAGGAACACCUGAGGCGAAGGCGGGUUGCUAGGCUGACACUGACGCUGAGGCGCGAAAGCUAGGGUAGCAAACGGG